GGACGAACGCUGGCGGCGUGCCUAACACAUGCAAGUCGAACGAGGUCCAUGCAGUGGCAACACUGCGGAAGACCUAGUGGCGAACGGGUGAGUAACACGUGAGGAACCUGCCCCGAAGACCGGGAUAACCCUCCGAAAGGAGAGCUAAUACCGGAUACCCCCACCUGGUCGCAUGGCCGGGUGAGGAAAUGGAUUCCGCUUCGGGAGGGCCUCGCGGCCUAUCAGCUAGUUGGUAAGGUAAUGGCUUACCAAGGCGAUGACGGGUAGGGGACCUGAGAGGGUGGCCCCCCACAAUGGAACUGAAACACGGUCCAUACACCUACGGGUGGCAGCAGUAGGGAAUAUUAGUAAUGGGCGAAAGCCUGAACUAGCAACGCCGCGUGUGCGAAGAAGGCCUUCGGGUUGUAAAGCACUUUUUGAGAGGAUGAGGAAGGACGGUACUCUCAGAAUAAGUCUCGGCUAACUACGUGCCAGCAGCCGCGGUAACACGUAGGAGGCAAACGUUAUCCGGAUUUACUGGGCGUAAAGCGCGUGUAGGUGGUUUGGUAAGUAGGGCGUGAAAGCUCCUGGCUCAACUGGGAGAGGACGUUCUAAACUGCCAAGCUUGAGGAUGGUAGAGGGAGGUGGAAUUCCGGGUGUAGCGGUGGAAUGCGCAGAUAUCCGGAGGAACACCAGUGGCGAAGGCGGCCUCCUGGACCACUCCUGACACUCAGACGCGAAAGCUAGGGUAGCAAACGGGAUUAGAGACCCCGGUAGUCCUAGCCCUAAACGAUGUAGACUUGGCGUCGGUGGUUUAAUCGCCAUCGGUGUCGUAGCUAACGCGAUAAGUCUACCGCCUGGGGACUACGGCCGCAAGGUUAAAACUCAAAGGAAUUGACGGGUCCCCGCACAAGCAGCGGAGCGUGUGGUUUAAUUCGAUGCUACACGAAGAACCUUACCUGGGUUUGACAUAGAGGUAGUAGGGAAGCGAAAGCGGACCGACCCUUCGGGGAGCCUCUACAGGUGUUGCAUGGCUGUCGUCAGCUCGUGUCGUGAGAUGUUCGGUUAAGUCCGCUAACGAGCGCAACCCUCGCUGUGUGUUACAAGUGUCACACGGUACUGCCGAUAUUAAGUCGGAGGAAGGUGGGGAUGACGUCAAGUCAGCAUGACCUUUAUAUCCAGGGCUACACACACGCUACAAUGGCCAGUACAAUGGGUUGCCAAGCCGCGAGGCGGAGCCAAUCCUAAAAAGCUGGCCUCAGUUCAGAUUGCAGUCUGCAACUCGACUGCAUGAAGUUGGAGUUGCUAGUAACCGCAGGUCAGCAAUACUGCGGUGAAUACGUUCCCGGGGAU
rnacentral:rRNA from 1 species